rnacentral:lncRNA from 1 species
AUGCUUACUGCAGGCUUUGGCAGCGCGGACGCAGAGCUCCUCGGCCGUGUACUCGCCGAAGGUGAAGGUGAGGACACCAGGAGCGCCGGGGGGGCACCCGGUGGUACAGGUACACUUGGAGGGUGCCAGUCUCAGUGGAGGAGAGGCUGCAGGAGCGCUCCCCGAUCAGCGGGGUCUCCUCACCCAGCGGGGCCAUGGUGGGGGCUGCAAGGACAGGGGGGACGCAGCUGUGACCCUCACCCCCCUCCCCAUCAAUUUCCAUCUGCGUCCUCCCUGGGAUCAAACCCAGUCACCAGGCCUGCAGCAUCUCCAUUGCUGGGGUCAGCCUGUCCUGGGGAGGAUGAAGGGGAAACUGAGGCACGCAGCCUGUUCCGCAGGCAUGGGGAUAAACCCACCAACCCCAGCUGCUGUCUUUGUCCCCAGGCCCUGAAUCGAUCCCAGGAAUGGGCAGGAGGACUCAGCUUCAUCUCCGUGCUCAGCUGGGCUGGAUGGACCUCAUGGAGCCCCCUGGGCUGGUCACCAUGGGGCUGGUGCAUGCCUGGUCCCUGUGCCGUGCAGCAUCGCACGUACCCGCUGACGGAUGUGGCUGGGCCCAGCAGCCACCGCUCGUUGUUUUUCCCUUUUCUGCUGCUCUAACCAGCUCAGCAAGGAGGCAAAGCCAAGGGUGAGGAGGGAAGGGGGUCCCUGGGGACACAGGCUGGGGACAAGGCCACAAGCUGGGUUCAAAUCCCAGGGACCAGGGGCUCUCCUCUGCCUCCAUGCUCAGUGAUGCCCCG